rnacentral:rRNA from 1 species
AGUGAACGCUGGCGGUAGGCCUAACACAUGCAAGUCGAACGGCAGCACAGAGGAGCUUGCUCCUUGGGUGGCGAGUGGCGGACGGGUGAGGAAUACAUCGGAAUCUACUCUGUCGUGGGGGAUAACGUAGGGAAACUUACGCUAAUACCGCAUACGACCUACGGGUGAAAGCAGGGGAUCUUCGGACCUUGCGCGAUUGAAUGAGCCGAUGUCGGAUUAGCUAGUUGGCGGGGUAAAGGCCCACCAAGGCGACGAUCCGUAGCUGGUCUGAGGGGAUGCUCAGCCACACUGGAACUGAGACACGGUCCAGACUCCUACGGGAGGCAGCAGUGGGGAAUAUUGGACAAUGGGCGCAAGCCUGAUCCAGCCAUACCGCGUGGGUGAAGAAGGCCUUCGGGUUGUAAAGCCCUUUUGUUGGGAAAGAAAUCCAUCUGGUUAAUACCCGGGUGGGAUGACGGUACCCAAAGAAUAAGCACCGGCUAACUUCGUGCCAGCCGCCGCAGUAA